CCUACGGGGGGCAGCAGUGGGGAAUAUUGCACAAUGGGGGAAACCCUGAUGCAGCGACGCCGCGUGAGUGAAGGAGUAAUUCGGUAUGUAAAGCUCUAUCAGCAGGGAAGAAAAUGACGGUACCUGAGUAAGAAGCCCCGGCUAACUACGUGCCAGCAGCCGCGGUAAUACGUAGGGGGCAAGCGUUAUCCGGAUUUACUGGGUGUAAAGGGAGCGUAGACGGCAGUGCAAGUCCGGGGUGAAAGGCGGGGGCUCAACCCCCGGCCUGCCCUGGAAACUGUACGGAUGGAGUGCAGGAGAGGUAAGUGGAAUUCCUGGUGUAGCGGUGAAAUGCGUAGAUAUUAGGAGGAACACCAGUGGCGAAGGCGGCUUACUGGACUGUAACUGACGUUGAGGCUCGAAAGCGUGGGGAGCAAACAGGAUUAGAUACCCGUGUAGUC
rnacentral:rRNA from 1 species